rnacentral:rRNA from 1 species
AGCACCUCAAGUGGUCAGGAUGAUUAUUGGGCCUAAAGCAUCCGUAGCUCGUUUUGUAAGUUUUCGGUUAAAUCCAUGCGCUUAACGUAUGGGCUGCCGGGAAUACUGCAUAACUAGGAAGUGGGAGAGGUAGACGGUACUCGGUAGGAAGGGGUAAAAUCCUUUGAUCUAUUGAUGACCACCUGUGGCGAAGGCGGUCUACCAGAACACGUUCGACAGUGAGGGAUGAAAGCUGGGGGAGCAAACC